rnacentral:rRNA from 1 species
UACGUAGGCAGCAAGCGUUGUUCGGAAUUAUUGGGCGUAAAGGGUGCGUAGGCGGUUUGGUAAGUCUUGUGUGAAAUUUACAGGCUCAACUUGUAGUCUGCACGAGAAACUGCCGGGCUUGAGUGUGGGAGAGGUGAGUGGAAUUCCUGGUGUAGCGGUGAAAUGCGUAGAUAUCAGGAGGAACACCUGUGGCGAAAGCGGCUCACUGGACCAUAACUGACGCUGAUGCACGAAAGCUAGGGGAGCAAACAGG